UUUAAACCCCUCCCCUACUA
rnacentral:tRNA from 1 species